UCUUUCCCUUCAGCGCGCCACUGAAGAUCCUGGUGUCGCCAUGGGCCGCCGCCCCGCCCGUUGUUACCGGUAUUGUAAGAACAAGCCGUACCCAAAGUCUCGCUUCUGCCGAGGUGUCCCUGAUGCCAAGAUUCGCAUCUUUGACCUAGGGCGGAAGAAGGCAAAAGUGGAUGAGUUUCUGCUCUGUGGACACAUGGUUUCAGAUGAAUAUGGCAGCUGUCCUGUGAAGGCCUGGAGGCUGCCCGAAUUUGUGCCAAUAAGCACAAAUUAAAAAGUUAAAAAGGUAAAAAGUUGCGGCAAGGAUGGCCUCCCUAAUCCAGGUGCGGCUCCACCCCUUUCACGUCAUCCGCAUCAAGAAGAUGUUGUCCUGUGCUGGGGCUGACAAGCUCCAAACAGGCAUGCGAGGUGCCUUUGGAAAGCUCCAGGGCACUGUGGCCAGGGUUCCAUUGGCCAAGUUAUCAUGUCCAUCCGCACCAAGCUGCAGAACAAGGAGCAUGUGAUUGAGGCCCUGGGCAGGGC